rnacentral:rRNA from 1 species
AGAAUUUAGCAGAGAUGCUUUAGUGCCUUCGGGAACUCUGAGACAGGUGCUGCAUGGCUGUCGUCAGCUCGUGUUGUGAAAUGUUGGGUUAAGUCCCGCAACGAGCGCAACCCUUAUCCUUUGUUGCCAGCACGUAAUGGUGGGAACUCAAAGGAGACUGCCGGUGAUAAACCGGAGGAAGGUGGGGAUGACGUCAAGUCAUCAUGGCCCUUACGAGUAGGGCUACACACGUGCUACAAUGGCGCAUACAAAGAGAAGCGACCUCGCGAGAGCAAGCGGAACCUCAUAAAGUGCGUCGUAGUCCGGAUUGGAGUCUGCAACUCGACUCCAUGAAGUCGGAAUCGCUAGUAAUCGUAAAUCAGAAUGUUACGGUGAAUACGUUCCCGGGCCUUGUACACACCGCCCGUCACACCAUGGGAGUGGGUUGCAAAAGAAGUAGAUAGCUUAACCUUCGGGAGGGCGUUUACCACUUUGUGAUUCAUGACUGGGGUGAAGUCGUAACAAGGUAAGCGUAGUGCU